UGUCUGUGUCGUCAACAUUUGAACAUUUUUGAGCGGUCCGCUCUUUCUGACUGUAAACAAAGCCGUUCUCCACCUCCUCUAACCUGAUUGGUUGUGAGGCAGACGCUGCUCCCCCGUGUCGUUCAGGAGCCCAAACAAAGUUAGCGUGCUACAAUAUCGGACAGUAGAAACCAACCAGAAAGUUCGGAAAAUUGUCUGAAUCCUCCUUUGGCCACGACUGCCGACACAAGCGAGAAAACACUCAAACAUAAACAGUCAGCAAGAAAACAGUCAGCAAGAAAAUUAGUCAACCAUAAACAGUCAACACCAAACCGGUCAACAGGAAAACGGUCAACACCAAAACAGUCAACAAAAAACAGUCAGUAAGAAAACAGUCAACAAGAAAACAGUCAACAAGAAAACAGUCAGCAAGAAAACAGUCAACAAGAAAACAGUCAGCAAGAAAACAGUCAACAAGAAAACAGUCAACAAGAAAACAGUCAACAAGAAAACAGUCAGCAAGAAAACAGUCAGCAAGAAAACAGUCAACAAGAAAACAGUCAGCAAGAAAACAGUCAACAAGAAAACAGUCAGCAAGAAAACAGUCAGCAAGAAAACAGUCAGCAAGAAAACAUCAACUAUAAUCAGUCAGCAAGAAAACGUCAACUAUAAUCAGUCAACAAGAAAACAGUCAACCAUUAACAGUCAACACCAAAACAGUCAACAAGAAAACAGUCAGCAAGAAAACAGUCAACACCAAACCGGUCAAACAGAAAACAGUAAACAAGAAAACAGUCAACAAGAAAACAGUCAACCACAGUCAACAAGAAAACAGUCAGCAAGAAAACAGUCAGCAAGAAAACAGUCAACCACAAACAGUCAACACCUAAACAGGCAACAAGAAAACAGUCAACAAGAAAAUGCUGCUCCCCCGUGUCGUUCAGGAGCCCAAACAAAGUUAGCGUGCUACAAUAUCGGACAGUAGAAACCAACCAGGAAGUUUCGGAAAAUUGUCUGAAUCCUCCUUUGGCCACGACUGCCGACACAAGCAAGAAAACAAAGUAAAUACCGGAGACUCUGGAGGAAUAACGGGCGCUUAAAACGGAGGUAGACCGGACAAGAGCUAAAAAGCCGGGUCAACAUAAACGAUGGGGGACGCUUGGGGAUCUUGGUGACCCUGUAACCUUUCUGCUGGACAGGUAAAUCGCUUUAACAAAGUAAGACAAGUGUCUGUAACAGAAGUGUUUCUUGUCAAACGGACCUGCUGUAGCGUGUUGUAGCGCCAUCGCUAAACUGUCCUCCCUCGGGUCCUGGACUAUGUCACUUUAUCCUCGUUGUAGAAGUCCUGCAAACAUUGUGUUUGCUGGUAGUCUGUUGGCAUCUACAGUAGCACCAAUGCUUUUGACUUUCACCUUGACUGGGCCCCAUUUGUAAUGAUCUGAAGUAUUGAUCUGCAUUAUAUCUGAAUUUAAUUGGAACGAUACGAGCGAGCAGGAGCGUCUGUUUGUGGGCGGGGCUUGAGGGGAGAGGAGGAGCUGAGGGGGAAACAUUUCGUUUACUUCUAACAGAUGAAGAGGUGCGUUCUUACAGGCGAGCUGAAUCAGUCUUUCCUUUUCAUUAAUGUAUUUUGCAGAUUCAGCUUAAUUACCCCGCUCCUCUGGGGAAAUCCCCGCCCCCACAAACCCCAC
rnacentral:lncRNA from 1 species